AUUGAACGCUGACGGCAUGCUUUACACAUGCGAGUCGAACGGCAGCGCGGGCUUCGGCCUGGCGGCGAGUGGCGAACGGGUGAGUAAUACAUCGGAACGUGCCCAGUAGUGGGGGAUAGCUCGGCGAAAGCCGGAUUAAUACCGCAUACGACCUGAGGGUGAAAGCGGGGGAUCUUCGGACCUCGCGCUAUUGGAGCGGCCGAUGGCAGAUUAGCUAGUUGGUGGGGUAAAGGCCUACCAAGGCGACGAUCUGUAGCUGGUCUGAGAGGACGACCAGCCACACUGGGACUGAGACACGGCCCAGACUCCUACGGGAGGCAGCAGUGGGGAAUUUUGGACAAUGGGCGAAAGCCUGAUCCAGCAAUGCCGCGUGUGUGAUGAAGGCCUUCGGGUUGUAAAGCACUUUUGGCGGGAACGAAAAGGACUGUGCCAAUACCACGGUUCGAUGACGGUACCCGCAGAAUAAGCACCGGCUAACUACGUG
rnacentral:rRNA from 1 species